AACGAACGCUGGCGGCAGGCUUAACACAUGCGAGUCGAGCGCCCCGCAAGGGGAGCGGCAGACGGGUGAGUAACGCGUGGGAAUCUACCCAUCUCUACGGAAUAACGCAUGGAAACGUGUGCUAAUACCGUAUACGUCCUUCAGGAGAAAGAUUUAUCGGAGAUGGAUGAGCCCGCGUUGGAUUAGCUAGUUGGUGGGGUAAAGGCCUACCAAGGCGACGAUCCAUAGCUGGUCUGAGAGGAUGAUCAGCCACACUGGGACUGAGACACGGCCCAGACUCCUACGGGAGGCAGCAGUGGGGAAUAUUGGACAAUGGGCGCAAGCCUGAUCCAGCCAUGCCGCGUGAGUGAUGAAGGCCCUAGGGUUGUAAAGCUCUUUCACCGGUGAAGAUAAUGACGGUAACCGGAGAAGAAGCCCCGGCUAACUUCGUGCCAGCAGCCGCCGUAAGAC
rnacentral:rRNA from 1 species